rnacentral:rRNA from 1 species
UGGGGAAUAUUGGACAAUGGGGGAAACCCUGAUCCAGCAAUGCCGCGUGAGUGAAGAAGGCCUUAGGGUUGUAAAGCUCUUUCAGCGGGGAAGAUGAUGACGGUACCCGCAGAAGAAGCCCCGGCUAACUCCGUGCCAGCAGCCGCGGUAAUACGGAGGGGGCUAGCGUUGUUCGGAAUUACUGGGCGUAAAGCGCACGUAGGCGGUGGCGCAUGUCAGAUGUGAAAGCCCUGGGCUUAACCUAGGAAUUGCAUUUGAAACUGCGUCGCUAGAGGCCGGAGGAGGGUAGUGGAAUUCCGAGUGUAGAGGUGAAAUUCGUAGAUAUUGGGAAGAACACCGGUGGCGAAGGCGGCUACCUGGUCCGGUUCUGACGCUGAGGUGCGAAAGCGUGGGGAGCAAACAGG